CUUCACUCACAGCUGCAUCAUUGUGAGCAAAUCAUCACAGACGCAAAUCUGUUCAUCGUCUUCCUCACCAUGUCUCGCCGUUUACUGGGAAAUUUCUCGCCGGAAAAUCUUGCUCGAGUCCUCAACUUCUUUCCACACUCAGAACAGUCCUUGAUUCAAGUUCGCGGUGGAAGACCGGGCCCCACCAGAGGACCACCUCCUCAACAUUACUUCACCACCAUGAGAGCUUUGCCGGCAAAGCUUAUGAACAGUGACUCAACAACAAUGGAGGAAUCAAAGCAAACUGCUAAGGGUCAAGUUAACGGUAGCUGAUUCAGCCAAAUGUUGGCUUACUUUUGUACUAACACUGCCUCCCGCCGUUCCUAAAUAUAAGAUCUGCUCAAGAUAGUAAUAAGGAUUAUGUAAUUCUCAAUUUUAUAUUCCAAGAUCGAUAUAUAAAUAAUUGUAAUUACAGUUUUUAUCUGCAA